rnacentral:rRNA from 1 species
UGAGGAACAUGACUUUCGGCGGGGGAUAGCCGGCCCAACGGCCGGGUAAUACCGCGUACGACCUUUUGGGGACAUCCCCGAUUGGUGAAAGCAGCAAUGCGCCGAAAGAGUGCCUCGCGGCCUAUCAGCUAGUUGGUGGGGUAAUGGCUCACCAAGGCGAUGACGGGUAGCUGGUCUGAGAGGAUGGCCAGCCACAGUUGGGACUGAGACACGGCCCAGACUCC